rnacentral:rRNA from 1 species
AUGUCUGAGGAGCUUGCAGCCUUAGAGCGUACUGGUACAUGGGAUUUGGUACCAUUACCUCCUCGUUCAGUCCCUAUCACUUGCAAAUGGGUGUAUACGGUUAAAACCAAGUCAAAUGGUUCUGUGGAACGCUACAAGGCUCGCCUUGUUGCAAGAGGUUUUCAGCAGUCUCAUGGGAAAGAUUAUGAUGAGACGUUUGCUCCUGUUGCUCACAUGACUUCAGUUCGAACUCUAAUUGCUGUGGCUGCUACUCGGUCAUGGAAAAUUUACCACAUGGAUGUGAAGAACGCCUUCCUUCAUGGUGAUUUACAUGAGGAGGUUUAUAUGCAGCCACCUCCAGGUAUCAAGGUUCCAUUAGGUCAUGUUUGUCGUCUUCGAAAGGCUCUUUAUGGGCUUAAGCAAGCCCCUCGUGCCUGGUUUGAGCGGUUCAGUUCUGUGAUUCAAGCUGCCGGUUUUUCUCCUAGCGAACAUGACCCUGCACUCUUCAUUCAUACAUCUGAGCAUGGCCGUACAUUGCUUCUACUUUAUGUAGAUGACAUGUUGAUCACUGGAGAUGAUGUUGGGUAUAUUGAUUUUGUUAAGAAAAAAUUGAGUGAACAAUUUAAGAUGUCAGAUUUGGGGUCUCUCAGCUAUUUUCUCGGGAUUGAGGUUGAGCACACCGAUGAUGGUUACUAUAUCUCCCAGCAAAAGUACACUCAGGAUUUGAUUCUUCGCUCAGGUCUCACUGACACGCGCAUUGCUGCUACACCUAUGGAGCUUCAUCUGCAGUUGCGUCCUACUGAUGGCACUCCUCUUGAGGAUCCCUCUCGCUACCGUCACAUCGUCGGCAGUCUAGUGUACCUCACAGUGACCAGACCUGACAUCGCACAUGCAGUCCAUAUUCUCAGUCAAUUUGUCUGUGCUCCCACCUCAGUUCAUCAUGGUCACCUAUUCCGAGUCCUUAGGUAUUUAAGGGGAACUACAUCUCGCCGCUUGUUCUAUGCUAAUUCCAGUCAGCUCCAGCUUCAUGCUUACUCUGAUUCCACUUGGGCGAGUGAUCCUAUUGAUCGUCGCUCGGUCACUGGCUAUUGCAUAUUUCUUGGUACAUCUCUCAUUGCAUGGAAAUCAAAGAAGCAAACUGCCGUGUCUCGCUCCAGCGCCGAGGCAGAGCUUAGGGCUCUCUCUACUACUACAACAGAGAUUGUAUGGCUUCGCUGGCUAUUGGAUGAUCUUGGUGUCUUAUGUCAUACACCAACACCUCUUCUUUGUGACAGCACUGCUGCUAUUCAGAUUGCUAAUGACCCAGUCAAGCAUGAGUUGACCAAACACAUUGGUGUGGAUGCAUUUUUCACUCGAUCUCAUUGUCAACAAUCCACUGUUAAGCUACAAUAUGUCCCAUCAGAGCUUCAAGUCGCAGAUUUCUUCACCAAGGCACAAACUAGAGAUCAGCAUAGGUUUCACACUCUCAAACUUGGUGUAUCAGAUGCUCCUGACCCACCUUAA